rnacentral:rRNA from 1 species
GCCUAACACAUGCAAGUCGAGCGGCAGCACAAGGGAGUUUACUCCUGAGGUGGCGAGCGGCGGACGGGUGAGUAAUGCCUAGGGAUCUGCCCAGUCGAGGGGGAUAACAGUUGGAAACGACUGCUAAUACCGCAUACGCCCUACGGGGGAAAGAGGGGGACCUUCGGGCCUCUCGCGAUUGGAUGAACCUAGGUAGGGAUUAGCUAGUUGGUGAGGUAAUGGCUCACCAAGGCGACGAUCCCUAGCUAGUUCUGAGAGGAUGAUCAGCCAUACUGGGACUGAGACACGGCCAGACUACCUACGGGAGGCAGCAGUGGGGAAUAUAGCACAAAGGGGGAAAACCCUGAUGCAGCCAU